CACCAUUCCUUGGUAAGUGAACAGAACACUCACAUGUGUGUCAGAAGAAGUGUGCAAGAUGUUCACAGCAUUGAUGUCAAAACUGACAAAUUACAUUGUACUAUUUUUAAAACAAAUUGGUAUUCAAAAUUUUUGUAGUUCAGCUGGGGUGGUGGUAGUGGUGCACAUCCCAGCACUUGGGAGGCGGAGGCAGGCAGAUCUCUGUGGGUUCAAGGCCAGCCUGGCCUACAGAGUGAAUUCCAGGAAAGCCGGGGCUACAGAGAGAAACCCUGUCUUGAGAAACCAAGACAAGAGUUGCUCUGCAUUACAUUUGUCUGUCUGCGUGUGUGCACCUGUGCCAUGGUGCUCCUAUGGAGGUCCUAGCAGAGGACAACUUGACAAUUUGCUCCUUUCACCAAGUGGUUCUGGGGAAUCAAACUCAGGCUGUCGGGCUUGGCAGCAAGCUCCUUUACUGUCAGAGCCUCACCACCAUAAACUGGGAUUUUUGCACUUUUCAACAUUAAGCACAAAAAAAAAAAUGAACUUGAGAACAAAUCAUGUUUCUGAAUG
rnacentral:lncRNA from 1 species